CGUGAUGAAAUUCCACCAGUUUCCUGUCAGUCUGACGACGAAAAC
rnacentral:snoRNA from 1 species